AAUUAUACACCCUUGUCUUUUGCGUACUUCUUGUUUCCUUGGAGGAUUCCCCCACCACUAUGACAAACGUACUCCUUUUGUAAUUGCACUCAUCGUCCGUAACUUAUUACUAAUUACCACUUUCUUCAGCGGAUCUCUAGGUUCUGGCAUCAAUGAAAAACGCAGCGAAAUGUGAUAAGUACUGUGAAUUGCAGAAUUCUUUGAAUCAUCUAAUCUUUGAACGCACAUUGCGCCCUUUGGUAGUCCAAACGGCAUGCCUGUUCUAGCGUCAUUUGUGCCCUCGAGCUUUGCUUGGUGUUGGGCGUCUUGUCUCUAUCUUU
rnacentral:misc_RNA from 1 species